CCCUGACUUUGCAGCCACAAGGUCAUGGUUUUUAGUUGAGUAAUCCAAAGAAUUGAUUUAUUACUGAAGAAGUGAGGUUUGAUGGAUUUUUGAUUUACAUGAAGACAGAAAAGGAGUGGGAGGUGCAAGGCAGCUGCAGAUUGGAGUACAAAGCAGAAACUCAAAAGAGCAAAUGGGCCAAACCUUGCAAUGGAUUAGAGAGAAAAAUCUUCUCACUUAGGGAAGCCAUGGGGAAAGUGAGAGGAGAGAAGACUGAUCAUUUAAUGAAUGGGACUCAUAAGCUUCCUGGAAAGGAGAGUUUUAAGAACAAGAACAGAAAAAUAGUCUGGUAAAAGUUGUAACUGGCUCUGCCUGUCUGUGCUAUGACAGCCAACAAUAUCACCUGCUGAUGAUUUACAGAUUCCUGGGAGAUGCGUUGCUGAGUCUCAAAGAACUGGAACAAGAACAACUCGCUCAAAUUGCUUCCCGUGGAACAGCAUAAUGUAUCCACCCGCUUCAUGCUCUCCUAAUUUAGGACAUGUGCAUGUGUAAUGAUGAACUGGCCAACUGAUUGUGUUGCUGUAAAUCUCGUUCCCCACCUUACAAAACACCCCUGACUGACCCCUUUUUCAUGAUAGCUCAGUGCAGCAUUUCCAGUUCACUUAUUGAGAGGGAGAAAAGUCGCACUAGCCACUUGCAAAAGCACUUCUCCAGAGAGAAAAAUGCAACAUUUUGUUGUUUUUAUUUCAUUGGGCAGCCUUUUCAAGUUCUGUGACCCACUUUUGCUUCUCUUUAAGUUGUGACCAGUAUUUAUUUAUCCCUUUUUGAACACAAUAACUUAAUUAAGAAACUAAUCAGCAGUGUUGAACUGAUCUUUCAACUCACCCCUAUCACUGAAGGAAAUUUAUGAAUGCAUAAUACAAGAAAGGUCCUAUUAUCUAAAAAGCUUUCUAAUAAAAGCAUUUGGCAUCUAAAAAGUAAGACUGGAAAUUCUGCACUAAAUUUAUAACGUAAAUAUGUGAACAUUAUUUCCAGAGUCUGAAAUGUAUCCCAGCUGAAUCUAAAAAGCUUGUCUGUAUUAUUUAUUAGAAUAAAAUUGUUAUCAUUUUAAAGGA